rnacentral:rRNA from 1 species
CCUACGGGGUGCAGCAGGCGAGAAAACUUUGCAAUGUGCGAAAGCACGACAAGGUUAAUCCGAGUGGUUUCUGCUAAAGAAACCUUUUGUUAGUCCUAGAAACACUGAUGAAUAAGGGGUGGGCAAGUUCGUGGUGUCAGCCGCCGCGGUAAAACCAGCACCUCAAGUGGUGAGGAUGAUUAUUGGGCCUAAAGCAUCCGUAGCCGGCUAUGUAAGUUUUCGGUUAAAUCUGUGCGCUUAACGUACAGGCUGCCGGGAAUACUGCAUAGCUAGGAAGUGGGAGAGGUAGACGGUACUCGGUAGGAAGGGGUAAAAUCCUUUGAUCUAUUGAUGACCACCUGUGGCGAAGGCGGUCUACCAGAACACGUUCGACGGUGAGGGAUGAAAGCUGGGGGAGCAAACCGGAUUAGAUACCCGGGUAGUC